AUUGAACGCUGGCGGCAUGCCUAACACAUGCAAGUCGAACGAGUGGCGGACGGGUGAGUAAUGUCUGGGAAACUGCCCGAUGGAGGGGGCUAACUACUGGAAACGGUAGCUAAUACCGCAUACCAUCGGAUGUGCCCAGAUGGGAUUAGCUAGUAGGUGGGGUAACGGCUCACCUAGGCGACGAUCCCUAGCUGGUCUGAGAGGAUGACCGGCCAAACUGGAACUGAGAAACGGCCCAAGCUCCUACGGGAGGCAGCAGGGGGGAAGAUUGCGCAAUGGGCGCAAGCCUGAAGCAGCCAUGCCGCGUGUAUGAAGAAGGCCUUCGGGUUGUAAAGUACUUUUAGCGAGGGGGCGUUAUUCGCAGAAGAAGCACCGGCUAACUCCGUGCCAGCAGCCGCGGUAAUUC
rnacentral:rRNA from 1 species